rnacentral:rRNA from 1 species
UACGUAGGGGGCAAGCGUUGUCCGGAAUCAUUGGGCGUAAAGAGCGCGUAGGCGGCCCUGUAAGUCCGCUGUGAAAGUCAAGGGCUCAACCCUUGAAUGCCGGUGGAUACUGCAGGGCUAGAGUCCGGAAGAGGCGAGUGGAAUUCCCGGUGUAGCGGUGAAAUGCGCAGAUAUCGGGAAGAACACCCGUGGCGAAGGCGGUUCUCUGGGACGGUACUGACGCUGAGACGGCGAAA